UGCUGGUGACAUAGCUCAGUCGGUAGAGCAUGAGACUCCUAAACUCAGGGUUGUGGGUUCAAACCACACAUUAGCCA